rnacentral:rRNA from 1 species
GAUGAACGCUGGCGGCGUGCCUAAUACAUGCAAGUCGAGCGAACAGACGAGGAGCUUGCUCCUCUGACGUUAGCGGCGGACGGGUGAGUAACACGUGGAUAACCUACCUAUCAGACUGGGAUAACUUCGGGAAACCGGAGCUAAUACCGGAUAAUAUAUUGAACCGCAUGGUUCAAUAGUGAAAGACGGUUUUGCUGUCACUUAUAGCUGGAUCCGCGCCGCAUUAGCUAGUUGGUAAGGUAACGGCUUACCAAGGCAACGAUGCGUAGCCGACCUGAGAGGGUGAUCGGCCACACUGGAACUGAGACACGGUCCAGACUCCUACGAGAGGCAGCAGUAGGGAAUCUUCCGCAAUGGGCGAAAGCUUGACGGAGCAACGCCGCGUGAGUGAUGAAGGUCUUCGGAUCGUAAAACUCUGUUAUUAGGGAAGAACAAAUGUGUAAGUAACUAUGCACGUCUUGACGGUACCGAAUCAGAAAGCCACGGCUAACUACGUG